rnacentral:lncRNA from 1 species
GGGAUGCUGCCAGACCCCAAGAAUGUGCACAUUAUUGUGAGCUGGAUGAUUGCCCAGAGUGUGACAGCCGUGGCGGGGCUGGUGUCCUAUCCAUUUGACACUGUCCGUCGUAGGAUGAUGAUGCAGUCUGGCCGGAAAGGGGGUAAGCACGAACUCCCCAAGUGUGAAUCUUAGCUUUUAUCCCCAGAGAACAAGCACUUGGAAGUGCCUAGAGGCCUUGUGUUUUCCAAGUCGAAAGGCAGAAGUUUCUCUGUAAGGACUGCAGAAACGGACACUAUAAUUUCUCCUUUAGCUUUUUUCCUUAUGGGAUUUCUUUCUUCUUAUUAAAGAAAUUGUAAGAACGUAA